AAUGAACGCUGGCGGCGCGCCUAAUACAUGCAAGUCGAGCGAGAAGACGUAGCAAUACGUUUGUAAAGCGGCGAACGGGUGAGGAAUACAUGGGUAACCUACCCUCGAGUGGGGAAUAACUAGCCGAAAGGUUAGCUAAUACCGCGUACGCUUCUUGGACUUCGGUUCAGGGAGGAAAGCGAUGCCGAGGGUAUCGCGCUCUUGGAUGGGCUCAUGUCCUAUCAGCUUGUUGGNGAGGUAACGGCUCACCAAGGCUUCGACGGGUAGCUGGUCUGAGAGGACGAUCAGCCACACUGGCACUGCGACACGGGCCAGACUCCUACGGGAGGCAGCAGUAAGGAAUAUUGCGCAAUGGGCGAAAGCCUGACGCAGCGACGCCGCGGUGGGGGAUGAA
rnacentral:rRNA from 1 species